rnacentral:snoRNA from 1 species
UCCCUCUCAGGACUGCACCUGGAGAGUUUCCAGUACUCUACCAGUCUCGGCUAUAGGAGGGAGAGUCAAGCAGAGGCCUUCCCAUUCCAUUCCAAGCUGGGGCAAUGGCUAGCAAGUGGAAAGCAAUCUGCUACAAGU